CAUCCACUAAUCAUGAUAGGAGAAGCCUGCAAUGCACUUUGCACAGCAGUUGCCAUUUCAAAUUCAACAAAGCCAAAGCAAAAUCCCUUUUGAGAUCUAACUUGAAUACCACCAGACCUAAUAGGUCCAAACUUCUUAAAUUCAUUCUCAAGUAGGGCAGGUGUAGCAUCUAAAGGCAGGCCUUUCACAUAGAUGGAAGGACCUCCAGCUUCAUUCUCUUGGGCAUUCCCAUUUUCAGUAGCAUUUGAAUUGGAGAUGUGUGCCUCAGUUGCCAGUGCAGGAGUUACUGCAGCAGUGACUUGUUCUUGGCUUUUUGGUGCAGACCUCAGAGGAUAAGGAGCAGGGCUUGAAAAGGGUGCAGUGUUCUCCUUCAUAACUUUCACAAUGGAUGCAUAUGACUUUUUU
rnacentral:misc_RNA from 1 species